rnacentral:lncRNA from 1 species
AGUGUAGUGAGAUGGAUGGAGGAAUAACCAAAAGAGUGAAAAAAGGAUUAGCUAAAUCACCCUUAAGGUGGCCGGCCUUUGUGUAGUUUUAGAGAGAUAUUUCUUUUGCCUCUUUGUUGUUUUAAACACACAAAAACCCUAAGGAAUAAAUCUCUAUAAAGUUCCUUAAAUAGACAAAAAGAAACCUAGUCAACAACUUGACUUAAUAUCUCUCCCUCUCCACUUUAAAUGGCCGGCCCCUUUGUGUUGGUUUGGGCUUUGGGCUUUUAUUUAUUUCUAGUCAUCCAAUGCUUGAAUAAAAGCCUAAUGGGUUUAGGCCCAAUGGGCCCAAUUAAACCCAAACGUUUCUUUAAGCCCAAAAUGAUCUUUUAUCGCUUUUAUGAUUUCUUUAGACUUUCUAAAUUAAUCACAACACUUAAUUAAUCCAAUUAAUUAUUUCUAUCAUCCAUUA